GCAUUGCUAGCUCAAUAGGUAGAGCGUGAGACUUUUAAUCUCCAGGUUGCAGGUUCAACCCCUGCGUGAGGCU
rnacentral:tRNA from 1 species